GCGGAUGUAGCUCAGCUGGUAGAGCGCAACCUUGCCAAGGUUGAGGUCGCGGGUUCGAACCCCGUCAUCCGCUCGA
rnacentral:tRNA from 1 species